GACGAACGCUGGCGGCGUGCUUAACACAUGCAAGUCGAACGGUAAGGCCCUUCGGGGUACACGAGUGGCGAACGGGUGAGUAACACGUGGGUGAUCUGCCCUGCACUUCGGGAUAAGCCUGGGAAACUGGGUCUAAUACCGGAUAGGACCACUGCCUGCAUGGGUGGUGGUGGAAAGCUUUUGCGGUGUGGGAUGGGCCCGCGGCCUAUGAGCUUGUUGGUGGGGGGUUGGCCUACCAAGGCGACGACGGGUAGCCGGCGUGAGAGGGAGACCGGCCACACGGGGACUGAGAUACGGCCCAGAAUCCUACGGGAGGCAGCAGUGGGGAAUAUUGCACAAUGGGCGCAAGCCUGAUGCAGCGACGCCGCGUGAGGGAUGACGGCCUUCGGGUUGUAAACCUCUUUCAGCACCGACGAAGCGCAAGUGACGGUAGGUGCAGAAGAAGGACCGGCCAACUACGUGCCAGCCGCCGCCGUAA
rnacentral:rRNA from 1 species